AGUCCUUUAAUUUUUAUGAUCUCUGUUUUUCAAGGUUUGGUGGAAGUCAUCAGUUUAACAGAAAAAUUUACAUUUAAUCCUAAAGAAGGAAUCGACAACCCAGUGAUGGUCAUCACAGAAGAAGCAGAUUCAGUGUCCUCCCCCAGCCCUCGUCUGUGUGUUCUGAAACGAGAAGAGGGGGAAAUCUACGGCUUCCACCUGCGGAUAGAAGGGGGGCGCGAGGGUCACAUCAUCAGAAACGUGGUGUCAGGAGGGGUGGCAGAGCGCAGUGGACUCAGAGACGGAGACAGACUACUGGAAGUCAACAACUGUUAUGUAGAUGAUGUUCCCCAUCCUGAGGUGGCUGCAAAGAUAAGGUUGAGUGGAAACCAGUUGUGUUUAUCGGUGUUGGAUGGGGAGGAGUAUGAGCAGGCUUUGUCUCAAGGUCAAGACCUCAGAGGUUUGGCUAGAACGCACAAAGGCGAGACCUUCAAACCCCCCAGACUCUGUCACAUCAAGAGGGAUCCUGUCUCAGGUCUGGGCAUCAACUUCACACCUGUGGAAGGAGAGAAAGGUCGCUUCUCUGUGAGCCUGGUUGCAGGAGGUGCAGCAGCAAAGGCGGGGGUGUUUAAGGGAGAUCGCCUGGUGUGGAUGAACGGAGCAGCAGUGUCUGAUCUCUCACACGCUGCACUCAACAGGAUGAUGAAAAAAUGUGGCGACCGCAUCACCAUCCUAGUGAUUGACAGCGAGAGUGAAACGUGCUACCUACAGCAGAGGGUGCCCAUCCUGCCCUCCAUGGCUGUUCCACACAAUCUGCCUUAUAAAGCCAGAAAACUCCACCUGGUCUCAGGAUCCGAGGGCUACGGCUUCCUGCUCCGGCUGGAGAAGGCGGCAUCAGGACGCACAUCUCAUGUUCUGUGUGAGAUGGAUGAUGGCAGUCCAGCACAGAGAGCGGGUAUGAAGGACAGAGAGGUUCUGCUGGAGGUGAAUGGAGAGUUAGUGGAGUCACUAAAUCAUCAGGAGAUCGUAGACAGAAUGAGACUGAGCGGACAGAAGGUCUCCAUCACCACCAUCACUCCUCAGGGGCUGGAUUUUUACUCCAAGUUGGGUCUGUCCCCUCUCCUCUUCUGUGAGGAUGAUUCUGUUGAGAGAGAAACAGAGAAGAUGACACUGUCUCCUGCAGAAGAACCGUCACCACAGAAAGAAGAAAUGGAUGCCACGUGCAUGCCAAGACUCUGUACUAUCCAAAAAGGCCCUUUGGGGUUUGGCUUUAACCUUGACUGCGUCCCACAGAGUCCCGGGACCUUCAUCAGCCAGGUGGCUUAUGGGGAGUUUUGGGCAUGAUGCAGGACUACGUGUAGGUGAUGUGGUGAUGGAAGUCAACGGACAAAAUGUGGAGGACAAAUAUCUAGAAUAUGUGAUUACGCUCAUAAAGGAAGGAGGACAUUUUGUCUCCAUGAAAGUCAUGGAUAAAACUGCCUACAGCAAACCGAAGCACAUUGACGUACCGACAAAAGAUAUCACUGACAGCGAGGAGGAAGAAAAUGGUGAUAUAUCGUUUUUGUGAGCUUCAGACAAAACGCCUGCCGACAAGACUUAAAACCGAGAUGAACGAGAAACUCAUCAGAAUCAGUUUUAAAGGCCAAGUAUGUGAGCACAUACAAGGAAUAGGACUCUGGUUUUACAUGUCUCUCAUGCACAUACAAACACAUUAACAUACUACACUUAAGGGGGGGGGGGGUUCUGCUGCAUUCAUGUGCUCCUCUGAUGGUCGUAAGUCGUUCUUCUGACUUCAGUGUGUUCACGUUUCAAACUGCUGCAAAGAAGAUGUGAGGAAAGUCUCUGUUAUAAGUUAUAUUUGAGCAAAAACCUUAUGUGCAAUACGUGAACUAGUCAAAAGUAUCUUAACAUUUACAAAACAUAUUUUACACACCAUGUUGAUGAUGAUAUUGAUUUCAACUUGGGCAGUCGGGCACCUCAUUCUUUCCCUGAGUUUCCGGGUUGUUGCUCUGACUUGAGCAGCCGUUCAUGUGCACUUCACAACUCAAAAACUGUUUUUUUCCGAUGUGUCUGCCACCACUUGAAUGCAUCAUUCUCCUGAAAUCCGCUGGCAACUCCACGGGCUUAAACGGGUUCAGCUCCACAUGGUUCCGAAGCAUAAUGUCGAUUAUUAUUGUUAUGAUACUGUCACGGUGAGUGAUAAAAGAAACGUGAGGAACCAUGAGCAGAAAAGAAAACUUGUUUAUUUAACAAAAAACUCAAAAACAAAAGCUUUUUACAAGAAACAAAGUCUGUGGGAAAUGAAAUCUAAACACUGAAAUUAACAAAACAAAUCAUGACAGAUAUCGACCAUGUUACCAGGGUUUAUAAACAAGAAGCGGGAAAUAAGCUGGAUGAAACUUCAGCAGGGUCAGUUAAACAAACCACAAAUGAAUCCUGUCUGUAUGAUUCAAAACACCUCAGUGAGUUAGUUCAGUAUUUUGCAUCCAUACAUUUAGACUAACACAGUAACCUAAUGUAAGAGCUCAAUUAAAUACAACACAUGAAGACAAUUUUGGAAAUCUCUGCAAACUCAAAAGUCUUUCUAUACUGAGACUUUUAGCCUGUGGCUCUAAGGAAGUUCAAACAAUGUAAAGUUGUUUAUCUGUAUUUACAGUCUGUGGUGAAAUUAAAAAAAUAGAUGGUGAUAAAAAGAGAAUCAAUCGGUGAAGUAUUAAGUUAUAAAAAGUGUUAAUUAUAUUAUUUUGUUUGUGUUUUACACAUCAAAUGUUAUAUAUAUUUGUUCCUUUAGACUAGAGCGAGUGUUUAUUAUGAAUUUAUACGGGACAGGAAGUAUCAGAGCGUUGGAAAUAAAACUAUUUCUUCUUUCUGUCA